rnacentral:rRNA from 1 species
GACGUAGGGUGCGAGCGUUGUCCGGAUUUAUUGGGCGUAAAGAGCUCGUAGGCGGCUCGUCGCGUCGUCCGUGAAAACCCGCGGCUUAACCGCGGGCUUGCGGUUGAUACGGGCGGGCUAGAGUUCGGUAGGGGAGACUGGAAUUCCUGGUGUAGCGGUGAAAUGCGCAGAUAUCAGGAGGAACACCGGUGGCGAAGGCGGGUCUCUGGGCCGAUACUGACGCUGAGGAGCGAAAGCUGGGGGAGCAAACGGG